rnacentral:rRNA from 1 species
AAUCAACGCUGGCGGCGUGCCUAACACAUGCAAGUCGAACGAUUAAAGCCCUUUCGGGGGUGUAUAGAGUGGCGUACGGGUGAGUAACACGUGGGUAAUCUACCUUUGGGUGGGGAAUAACUCAGGGAAACUUGAGCUAAUACCGCAUAAUGCAGCGGCUCGACAUCGAGACAGUUGUUAAAGAUUUAUCGCCUGAAGAGGAGCCUGCGCCUGAUUAGCUAGUUGGUGGGGUAAUGGCUUACCAAGGCUACGAUCAGUAGCUGGUCUGAGAGGACGGCCAGCCACAAUGGCACUGAAACACGGGCCAUACUCCUACGGGAGGCAGCAGUGGGGAAUAUUGGACAAUGGGCGAAAGCCUGAUCCAGCCAUGCCGCGUGAGUGAAGAAGGCCUUAGGGUUGUAAAGCUCUUUUGGCGGGAAGAUAAUGACGGUACCCGCAGAAUAAGCUCCGGCUAACUUCGUGCCAGCCGCCGCGGU